rnacentral:lncRNA from 1 species
CCAUCAUGCUUAUCUCGAACUCUCCCUGCAUGAGCUUGGCAAACUCUUGGCACAGAUCUUCAUUAGUAGAUCCAAAUAUAAUAUCAUCAAUAUAUACUUGUAUAACAAAAAAUUUUUUUUUCUUUCUUUUUAUAAAAAGAGUAGUAUCAAUUUUUCCUCUUGAAAAUCUAUUUUCUAAUAAAAACUUAAUCUUUCAUACUAAGCUUUAGGAGCAUGUUUUAACCCAUAUAAAGCUUUGUUUAACC